rnacentral:rRNA from 1 species
UACGCAGGGGGCUAGCGUUGUUCGGAUUUACUGGGCGUAAAGCGCGCGCAGGCGGUCCUUCAAGUCAGGGGUGAAAGCCCAGAGCUCAACUCUGGAACUGCCUUUGAGACUGUAGGACUUGGGUAUGGGAGAGGUGAGUGGAAUUCCGAGUGUAGAGGUGAAAUUCGUAGAUAUUCGGAAGAACACCAGUGGCGAAGGCGGCUCACUGGCCCAUUACCGACGCUCAGGCGCGAUAGCGUGGGGAGCAAACAGG